rnacentral:rRNA from 1 species
AUGCAGUAUGAGCUUGACCUUGAGCUCUUUGAUGUUGUCAGUGUUGAGGAGAGCCAAGCGGCUCUUGCCCCGAGGACUAUAUGCUACCUUGUCAAGAAAGCUGAGGGCAAGUGGUGGCCUAGGCUGCUCAAGAAGGAAGGCAAACCACCUGUGUUCCUCAAGGUUGACUGGGAUAAAUGGCAAGAUGAGGAUGAUGAAGACGCUGGAUUUGGUGACUUUGGUGAUAUGGACUUCUCGAAGCUGGAUAUGGGAGGUGGUGAUGACGAUGAUGAGAUUUUGGAGCAUGAUGAAAACAAUGUGGUUGACAAUGCUAACAAAGGAAGCUUAUGA